rnacentral:rRNA from 1 species
GACGAACCGUGCGAACGUUGUUCGGAAUCACUGGGCUUAAAGGGCGCGUAGGCGGCCUGCCAAGUCAGGGGUGAAAGCCCCCGGCUCAACUGGGGAGGGUCACGCGAUACUGAUCGACUCGAAGGCAGGAGAGGGUAGUGGAAUUCCCGGUGUAGUGGUGAAAUGCGUAGAUAUCGGGAGGAACACCGGUGGCGAAGGCGCCGCUCUGGGCCGAAACUGACGCUGAGGAGCGAAAGCGUGGGUAGCAAACAGG